AGAGUUUGAUCCUGGCUCAGGAUAAACGCUGGCGGCGCACAUAAGACAUGCAAGUCGAACGGAAGUCGUUACGAAACGGAUUGAAGAUUUAUCAGAUUGAAGUUUUGUAACAAUGGCUUUAGUGGCGGACUGGUGAGUAACACGUAAGCAACCUGCCUAUUAGAGGGGAAUAACAAUGAGAAAUCAUUGCUAAUACCGCAUAAGCUUGUAGCAACGCAUGUUGUAGCAAGAAAAGGAGAAAUCCGCUAAUAGAUGGGCUUGCGGCUGAUUAGCUAGUUGGUAGGGUAAAGGCUUACCAAGGCAACGAUCAGUAGCCGGGCUGAGAGGCUCUGCGGCCACAUUGGGACUGAGAUACGGCCCAGACUCCUACGGGAGGCAGCAGUCGGGAAUAUUGCGCAAUGGAGGAAACUCUGACGCAGUGACGCCGCGUAUAGGAAGAAGGUUUUAGGAUUGUAAACUAUUUUAGACAGGGAAGAAUAAAUGACAGUACCUGUAGAAUAAGCUCCGGCUAACUACGUGCCAGCAGCCGCGGUAAUACGUAGGGAGCAAGCGUUAUCCGGAAUUAUUGGGUGUAAAGGGUGCGUAGACGGGAAUACAAGUUGGUUGUGAAAUCCCUCGGCUCAACCGAGGAACUGCAGCCAAAACUAUAUUUCUUGAGUGCAGGAGAGGAAAGCGGAAUUCCUAGUGUAGCGGUGAAAUGCGUAGAUAUUAGGAGGAACACCAGUGGCGAAGGCGGCUUUCUGGACUGUAACUGACGUUGAGGCACGAAAGUGUGGGGAGCAAACAGGAUUAGAUACCCU
rnacentral:rRNA from 1 species